UAUCACCCUGAACAUGUCCAAUCUUGUCUGAACUCAGAAGCUAAGCAGGGCUGGGCCUAGUUAGUGCUGGGAUGGGAGAAUUUCAAUUAAGAACAGAAGGAA
rnacentral:rRNA from 1 species